UACGAAGGGGGCUAGAGCGUUGUUCGGAAUUACUGGGCGUAAAGCGCGUGUAGGCGGGCGAAUAAGUCAGGGGUGAAAUGCCAAGGCUCAACCUUGGAACUGACCUUUGAUACUGGCUAUCUUGAGUUCGGGGAGAGGUGAGUGGAACUCCGGAGUGUAGAGGUGAAAUUCGUAGAUAUUCGGAAGAACACCAGUGGCGAAGGCGACUCACUGGCCCGAUACUGACGCUGAGGCGCGAAAGCGUGGGGAGCAAACAGGGAUUAA
rnacentral:rRNA from 1 species